UUCCAGACUCCUACGGGAGGCAGCAGUGGGGGAUAUUGCACAAUGGGGGGAACCCUGAUGCAGCGACGCCGCGUGGGUGAAGAAGCGCCUCGGCGCGUAAAGCCCUGUCAGCAGGGAAGAAAAUGACGGUACCUGAAGAAGAAGCCCCGGCUAACUACGUGCCAGCAGCCGCGGUAAUACGUAGGGGGCAAGCGUUAUCCGGAUUUACUGGGUGUAAAGGGGGCGCAGACGGCGAUGCAAGCCAGGAGUGAAGGCCCGGGGCCCAACCCCGGGACUGCUCUUGGAACUGCGUGGCUGGAGUGCAGGAGGGGCAGGCGGAAUUCCUGGUGUAGCGGUGAAAUGCGUAGAUAUCAGGAGGAACACCGGUGGCGAAGGCGGCCUGCUGGACUGCAACUGACGUUGAGGCCCGACAGCGUGGGGAGCAAACAGGAUUAGAUCCCCCUGUA
rnacentral:rRNA from 1 species